UACGUAGGGUGCAAGCGUUGUCCGGAAUCGAUUGGGCGUAAAGCGCACGUAGGCGGUCUGUUAUGUCGGAUGUGAAAGCCCUCGGCUUAACUGAGGAAGUGCAUCCGAAACUGGCAGGCUAGAGUACUAAAGAGGGUCGCGGGAUUCCCGGUGUAGAGGUGAAAUUCGUAGAUAUCGGGAGAACACCGGUGGCGAAGGCGGCGACCUGGGUAGAUACUGACGCUGAGGUGCGAAAGCGUGGGAGCAACAGG
rnacentral:rRNA from 1 species